rnacentral:rRNA from 1 species
GGUACAUCGGUGACAGGUGGUGCAUGGUUGUCGUCAGCUCGUGUCGUGAGAUGUUGGGUUAAGUCCCGCAACGAGCGCAACCCCUAUUGUUAGUUGCCAUCAUUCAGUUGGGCACUCUAGCGAGACUGCCGGUAAUAAACCGGGAGGAAGGUGGGGAUGACGUCAAAUCAUCAUGCCCCUUAUGACCUGGGCUACACACGUGCUACAAUGGUUGGUACAACGAGUUGCGAGUCGGUGACGGCGAGCUAAUCUCUUAAAGCCAAUCUCAGUUCGGAUUGUAGGCUGCAACUCGCCUACACGAAGUCGGAAUCGCUAGUAAUCGCGGAUCAGCACGCCGCGGUGAAUACGUUCCCGGGCCCUU